rnacentral:rRNA from 1 species
UACGUAGGGUGCAGGCGUUAAUCGGAAUUACUGGGCGUAAAGCGUGCGCAGGCGGUUUCUUAAGUCAGAUGUGAAAGCCCCGGGCUUAACCUGGGAACUGCGUUUGAAACUGGGAGACUUGAGUGUGGCAGAGGGGGGUGGAAUUCCACGUGGUAGCAGUGAAAUGCGUAGAUAUGUGGAGGAACACCAAUGGCGAAGGCAGCCCCCGUGGGUCAACACUGACGCCUCAUGCACGAAAGCGUGGGGAGCAAACAGGA